rnacentral:rRNA from 1 species
AUUGAACGACAGCGGCCGGCUUAACACAUGCAAGUGGAGCGAGCGGCGGCCGGGUGAGUAAUAUAUGGGAAACUGCCUGAUGGAGGGGGAUAACUACUGGAAACGGCAGCUAAUACAGCACACCAUGAGAUGUGCCCCGAUGGGAUUAGCUAGGAGGUGGGGGAAUGGCUCACGUAGGCGAGGAUCCCUAGCUGGUCUGAGAGGAUGACCAGCCACACUGAUACUGAGACACGGCCCAGACUCCUACGGGAGGCAGCAGUGGGGAAUAUUGCGCAGUGGGCGCAAGCCUGCUGCAUCCAUGCCGCGUGUGUGAAGAAUGCCUUCGGUUUGUAAAGCACUUUCAGCGGCGAGGCGUUACUCUCAGAAGAAGCACCGGCUAACUACGUGCCAGCAGCCGCGGUAAUUC